rnacentral:rRNA from 1 species
UACGUAGGGGGCAAGCGUUAUCCGGAUUUACUGGGUGUAAAGGGAGCGUAGACGGAUGGACAAGUCUGAUGUGAAAGGCUGGGGCUCAACCCCGGGACUGCAUUGGAAACUGCCCGUCUUGAGUGCCGGAGAGGUAAGCGGAAUUCCUAGUGUAGCGGUGAAAUGCGUAGAUAUUAGGAGGAACACCAGUGGCGAAGGCGGCUUACUGGGCGGUAACUGACGUUGAGGCUCGAAAGCGUGGGGAGCAAACAGG